ACGGACAGCAAUGAUUACGAAGUCAAGAUGCGCAACGUGUUCAAGUUUCUGGAAGGCGGCGACAAGGUUAAGAUCACCCUGCGCUUCCGUGGCCGCGAGAUGGCCCACCAAGAACUGGGUCGUCAGCUGCUGGAACGUGUUGCAGAAGACACCAAAGAGCACGGCAAGGUGGAAAACUUCCCCAAGAUGGAAGGCCGCCAGAUGGUCAUGCUGAUUGGCCCGAUGCCGAAGUGAUCGCACUGUAGACCGAUAUCAGGCCCCGGGGGAUUCUCCGGGGCCUUUUUCAUGGGCGCCGUCAUGGCGUCUAAAUAGGUGCA
rnacentral:misc_RNA from 1 species